rnacentral:rRNA from 1 species
CCUACGGGAGGCUGCAGUGAGGAAUAUUGGUCAAUGGGCGGAAGCCUGAACCAGCCAAGCCGCGUGAGGGAUGAAGGUACAGAGUAUCGUAAACCUCUUUUGUCAGGGAACAAAGGCGGGGACGUGUCCCCGGAUGAGUGUACCUGAAGAAAAAGCAUCGGCUAACUCCGUGCCAGCAGCCGCGGUAAUACGGAGGAUGCGAGCGUUAUCCGGAUUUAUUGGGUUUAAAGGGUGCGCAGGCGGUCUGUUAAGUCAGCGGUCAAAGCCCGGGGCUCAACCCCGGCCCGCCGUUGAAACUGGCAGUCUCGAGUUGGAGAGAAGUAUGCGGAAUGCGCGGUGUAGCGGUGAAAUGCAUAGAUAUCGCGCAGAACUCCGAUUGCGAAGGCAGCAUGCCGGCUCCACACUGACGCUGAGGCACGAAAGCGUGGGUAUCGAACAGGAUUAGAUACCCUUGUAGUC